rnacentral:rRNA from 1 species
AUUGAACGCUGGCGGCAGGCCUAAAACAUGCAAGUCGAGCGGAGCGGCGGACGGGGGAGUAAUGCCUAGGAAUCUGCCUGGUAGUGGGGGAUAACGUCCGGAAACGGGCGCUAAUACCGCAUACUAUCAGAUGAGCCUAGGUCGGAUUAGCUAGUUGGUGGGGUAAAGGCCUACCAAGGCGACGAUCCGUAACUGGUCUGGGAGGAUGAUCAGUCACAUUGAAACGGAGCCACGGCCCAGACUCCGACGGGAGGCAGCAGUGGGGAAUAUUCGACAAGGGGCGAAAUCCUGAUCCAGCCAUGCCGCGUGUGUGAAGAAGGUUUUCGGAUGUUAAAGCCCUUUAAGUUGGGCGGCGGUACCAACAGAAAAAGCACCGGCUAACUACGUGCCAGCAGCCGCGGUAAUUC